rnacentral:ncRNA from 1 species
GCAAUGUCCUUGACAAGGAUGAAAGAGGCCCUCAGCCUGACAAUAUACAUACAGUUAAGGCACAGCCACCUACUUUGAAGCAUCGAACCAUAGCUUUUA